rnacentral:tRNA from 1 species
GUUGAUAUGUCCGAGUGGUUAAGGAGAUAGACUUGAAAUUUGUUGGGUUUUGCUUGCGCUGGUUCAAAUCCUACUGUCGACG